rnacentral:misc_RNA from 1 species
UACAGAGGGUGCGAGCGUUAAUCGGAUUUACUGGGCGUAAAGCGUGCGUAGGCGGCUUUUUAAGUCGGAUGUGAAAUCCCCGAGCUUAACUUGGGAAUUGCAUUCGAUACUGGGAAGCUAGAGUACGGUAGAGGGUGGUGGAAUUUCCUGUGUAGCGGUGAAAUGCGUAGAUAUAGGAAGGAACACCAGUGGCGAAGGCGACCACCUGGCCUAAUACUGACGCUGAGGUACGAAAGCAUGGGGAGCAAACAGG